CCGCGUGAGUGAAGAAGGCUUCGGGUUGUAAAGCUCUUUCAGCCGGAAAGAAAAUGCUUCUAUUAAUACUAGGAGUAGAUGACGGUACCGGAAGAAGAAGCACCGGCUAACUACGUGCCAGCAGCCGCGGUAAUACGUAGGGUGCGAGCGUUAAUCGGAAUUACUGGGCGUAAAGCGUGCGCAGGCGGCUUUUUAAGCCAGAUGUGAAAUCCCCGGGCUUAACCUGGGAACUGCAUUUGGAACUGAGAGGCUAGAGUGUAGCAGAGGGGGGUAGAAUUCCACGUGUAGCAGUGAAAUGCGUAGAUAUGUGGAGGAAUACCGAUGGCGAAGCAGCCCCCUGGGCUACACUGACGCUCAUGCACGAAACGUGGGGAGCAAACAGGAUUAGAUACCUGGUAGUCCCGCCCUUAACGAUGUCACUANGUGUUGGGGAANGAGACUUC
rnacentral:rRNA from 1 species